ACUGGAAACUCUGGCUACAUAAAUAACACAAGUGGAGAGCUUCUUGGAGAGGGUUGGGCACCCAAGCUGAACACUUGAAGCAGGGACUUUGUCCCCUUCAACCUCUGCCUUUUGUCAUUUGAGGACAUGUUAUUCCUUCCUCCUUAGGAAACAGCAUGUGGUAUGUUGAUCUUGGAAGCAGAGAGACCAAGCCCUAGUGGGUGGACGCCUUGAUCACAGACUGCUCAGCCUCCAGAACUAUGGAGAAUAAACGGACCUCUUUAAUAUUUUUAUCUUACCUCACACAAGGGGAUAAUGUUCCUUCCCUACCCAGAAGCCACAGAAGACCACACACAAAGCCCAGGAGCCUCCUUUCCGGGUAUUAGACCAGAAGUCACCUCAGAGAUUCUGAAAGCACUGUAGGCUAUCGCUGCUGCUCUUGGUUGAACUUGCAGGUGGCCAAGCUGCAUCUGUGGAGAGCCCUGAGACCAGUCCCAUGGGCAACAGCAGCUGAUGCAAACUCAGGGUGGAGCAGCAGCAUUGCACGCACGGGUUGUAGGAAGUGAUUUUCGGAGUUAACUCAGGAUACAUAGUUACUUUGUGUGUGGGAGGAUGAGGACAGUAAAGAUGUGUCCUCAGCAAUUGUGGGUAUUUAUUUUGUUAUUCUUGACGUCACAGUGUUGUGAUGAGGGCUCUGGGAUGGGUUCAUCUUGGAACCACAAGUUCUUGCUCUGUGAACCUCUGGCCCCACAAGACCACUGUACUGUUCUCUGCUUUGUGGCAUCAUGUGGUUUAUUUUUCUAGGAAUGUCUGAAUUGUUCCAGGUAUCUCAAAUAGCCACAUUUUUGCAGGCAGCUGUAUAUUACACAUUUUUAACACAUGGG
ensembl:lncRNA